rnacentral:rRNA from 1 species
CGCGGCCUAUCAGCUUGUUGGUGGGGUAAUGGCCUACCAAGGCGACGACGGGUAGCCGACCUGAGAGGGCGACCGGCCACACUGGGACUGAGACACGGCCCAGACUCCUACGGGAGGCAGCAGUGGGGAAUAUUGCACAAUGGGCGAAAGCCUGAUGCAGCGACGCCGCGUGAGGGAUGACGGCCUUCGGGUUGUAAACCUCUUUCAGCAGGGACGAAGCGCAAGUGACGGUACCUGCAGAAGAAGCACCGGCUAACUACAUGCCAGCAGCCGCGGUAAUACGUAGGGUGCAAGCGUUGUCCGGAAUUACUGGGCGUAAAGAGUUCGUAGGCGGUUUGUCGCGUCGUUUGUGAAAACCAGCAGCUCAACUGCUGGCUUGCAGGCGAUACGGGCAGACUUGAGUACUGCAGGGGAGACUGGAAUUCCUGGUGUAGCGGUGAAAUGCGCAGAUAUCAGGAGGAACACCGGUGGCGAAGGCGGGUCUCUGGGCAGUAACUGACGCUGAGGAACGAAAGCGUGGGUAGCGAACAGGAUUAGAUACCCUGGUAGUCCACGCCGUAAACGGUGGGCGCUAGGUGUGGGUUCCUUCCACGGAAUCCGUGCCGUAGCUAACGCAUUAAGCGCCCCGCCUGGGGAGUACGG